CCUACGGGAGGCAGCAGUCGAGAAUCAUUCACAAUGGGGGCAACCCUGAUGGUGCGACGCCGCGUGGGGGAAUGAAGGUCUUCGGAUUGUAAACCCCUGUCAUGUGGGAGCAAAUUAAAAAGAUAGUACCACAAGAGGAAGAGUCGGCGAACUCUGUGCCAGCAGCCGCGGUACUACAGAGGUCUCAAGCGUUGUUCGGAAGCACUGGGCGUAAAGCGUGCGUAGGCUGUUUCGUAAGUCGUGUGUGAAAGGCGCGGGCUCAACCCGCGGACGGCACAUGAUACUGCGAGACUAGAGUAAUGGAGGGGGAACCGGAAUUCGCGGUGUAGCAGUGAAAUGCGUAGAUAUCGAGAGGAACACUCGUGGCGAAGGCGGGUUCCUGGACAUUAACUGACGCUGAGGCACGAAGGCCAGGGGAGCGAAAGGGAUUAGAUACCCUUGUAGUC
rnacentral:rRNA from 1 species